CCUACGGGAGGCAGCAGUAGGGAAUCUUCCGCAAUGGACGAAAGUCUGACGGAGCAACGCCGCGUGAGUGAAGAAGGUUUUCGGAUCGUAAAGCUCUGUUGUCAGAGAAGAACAAGUUGGAGAGUAACUGCUCCAGCCUUGACGGUAUCUGACCAGAAGGCCACGGCUAACUACGUGCCAGCAGCCGCGGUAAUA
rnacentral:rRNA from 1 species